AAAAUCUAUAAAACUGGUGGCUGGGAAAUAGAAAAUAUAUAAAUUUAUGUUAUUAGAGUUUAGUACUUCUGUCGAUCAAUGUGUUACGACCGUUCGCGGAGAGACGCAGUCGCAGUAGCGAGAGGCGUAAAUUCUCGCUACGAUUCGGUGAAUCGACGCCGCGAAGUAGUCGUUCCCCUGUUUCGGUUAAGAUAAGAGGUGGUUAAAUGAAUAUGACACAGUAUAGUAAGUUAUAUUUCACCGUUUAUUCCAACAACUUAUAACGAAGGCAGUUACGCUGGUCCAUAUUUUUGGGGAUACAAUUAAAAAAGUAAAUCGUCGGUGGAAUAUUGUUUCACCUAUCAAGAAUUUUGGAAGAUAUAAUUAGAAAGGUACAACCUGGGUAGAAAAUUGUACUCCUUAUCGAGCAUUUUUGAAAAUAUAAUUGAGAAAGUGGAAUCUGGAUAGAAAAUUGUUUUACCUACGAAGCAUUAUAAAAAUUGACAGAGCAAGGAAAAUGAGCGACGAACCUACCUACAAACUAAUCUACUUCAAUGCCCGUGGUAGUGCCGAACAUAUACGGUACAUAUUUGCAUAUAUUGGCAUCGAGUAUACCGACGAGAGGAUCCCCCUACAACUCUGGCCUGAAUACAAGGAUUGUAAGCGUGAAGAAUCGAUUUUUACUUUCAUCGUUCAACUCUCAGAUAUCUACCAUUUACUCAAACUUUUCUGUAUAUAAAACUUUCGUUUCACGUGCAGGCUAAACUUACUUAAAGUAAAAUUUCAUACGGAAUAAAGUCGAACUUUUCAUUAAGUUUUGCUUCCGUAAUAUCGUGUUUAUCGAAUACCAACUUAAUUCACUUACGAUUCUCGAAUUUUUGUGUUGCUAUCUUUAUUGUUUUCAAUGAAUCGAAGCAUUUCGAAUAUUUUGAGAAAACCGUAAAUAGGUGACUUAAAAUAGGAAUACAAAAAUACUUCUACGUUUCUCGUUAAAUUAAAAACUUUUUAGGACUUGUCGGAAAAAAAGGAUAAAAAAUUGAAAUCAGUUCGGAAAUGAACAAGAACAUAGCUAAAAAGUCGAAAGAACAAAGCAGACAUAAAAUUCGAUCUUCUGUUGCGACAUUUCUAUCGUAAAUGGUAUAAUAAAAGUUUUACGCAGCAUAGUCUUCGAUAUAAUCUUAUAUGUCGCUUGCAAAUGGAGAAACCAAAAAUCAACGUAAGUCUGUAAAUCAAUCCUGUCGGUGUAAAACACAAAAUUACGUUCGCAAGAGACAUUCGAUUUAUAUUCCUUGCAUUUCAAUUUUCAUUACAAGAACCGUGUACAUUUUCUAAUAUUUUUUCCGUGUCUGGUAUUAUCUUUUAUCCUUGAUUUUAAAGACUUUAGGUUCUUCCCAACAGUCAAAAACACGCGAUACCCUGUCCAUCGUAAUCGUAAGAAAAGAAAAAAAGGAGAAAGAAGAUAUUUCUGUAUUUCUUUACUAGGCCAUGUUGAUUAAAACCGAAAUGAUUUCGAUUCAUCUAUUCACAAGAACGCAACGGCCUCGGAAGCUGUGUUGUGAUUUCCUAUCGAUCGUUUCCCUCUACACAGUGUUCAUAUGAGCCAUGUUUGUUCUUAGCAAUGCCUUAUAAAAAGCUGCCUGUGCUGGAGGUAGACGGGAAACCGGUAGCGCAGGCUGACGCUGUGGCGCGAUACUUGGCGAGGAAGUACGAUCUAAUGGGAAGGAACGAAAGGGAUGCGUUGAUAUGCGACGUGCUCGUCGAUACUCUUGAAGAUUUGGAGCAAGGUGAGUAACUGAUGAGAUGACUUUGCAUUUGUCUCACCACAGAGACAGACGUUCAAGAAUUCAUUGUGAAAAGACGAGUACAAACAAGAUACGUAUGUCUUUCCGUUAAGCGAAUGUUACAGUUUGUUUGCAAAAGUCAGUUUUUAGAUUAUAGAAUCGUAGAUAGAAUUUAGAGGAUAGAAACUUUUAGUAGUCACUUUUAGUUUAGUAAAGUCUUAUCGACAAUAAGCAGACUACGUUAUGAUACAACGA